UAUCAACACCCAAAGCUGAAGUUCUAUUUAAACUAUUCCCUG
rnacentral:tRNA from 3 species